AGCAGCCGCCGCGGUAAUACGGAGGGUGCAAGCGUUAUCCGGAUUUAUUGGGUUUAAAGGGUCCGUAGGCGGAUCUGUAAGUCAGUGGUGAAAUCUCACAGCUUAACUGUGAAACUGCCAUUGAUACUGCAGGUCUUGAGUAAAUUUGAAGUGGCUGGAAUAAGUAGUGUAGCGGUGAAAUGCAUAGAUAUUACUUAGAACACCAAUUGCGAAGGCAGGUCACUAAGAUUUAACUGACGCUGAUGGACGAAAGCGUGGGGAGCGAACAGGAUUAGAUACCCGUGUAGUCCCUGUCUCUUAUAC
rnacentral:rRNA from 1 species